rnacentral:lncRNA from 1 species
UCCCGUAGCAUGCACGUAUGGUGAACCGUUAUGUGACGAAGUCAGAGCAUGAUUUAUUUAUUGAUUGUCAUCCUUUGUGUGGAGGUCGGGAUCGCGCGAUGGUUAACUCCUACCAACCCUUCCCCUAGGAGCAUGCGUGUAGUACCUUGUUUCGAUAACUAAUAGACUUUUGCAAUAAGUAUGUGAGUUCUUUAUGACUAAUGUUGAGUCCAUGGAUUAUACGCACUCUCACCCUUCCAUCAUUGCUAGCCUCUCUAGUACCGCGCAACUUUCGCCGAUGCUUUACACCCACC